rnacentral:rRNA from 1 species
UACGGAGGGUGCGAGCGUUAUCCGGAAUUACUGGGCUUAAAGGGUGCGUAGGCGGCGCAGUAAGUCAGGAGUGAAAGUUUGCGGCUCAACCGUAAAAUUGCUUUUGAUACUGCUGUGCUAGAAUUAGGAUGAGGUCAGCGGAAUGUGGCAUGUAGCGGUGAAAUGCAUAGAUAUGCCAUAGAACACCAAUUGCGAAGGCAGCUGGCUAGACCUAGAUUGACGCUGAGGCACGAAAGCGUGGGGAGCGAACAGG